ACAGUGCAGUCAGCAAAGCAAGUCACUAAAGACAACGGUCACCACACGAGUAAACAGGCAAAGACACUGCAGCUGGGACGAUGGUCGGUCUGCUCAGCGUCAUAGACCAGGGCUCCGAAGACAACGGGAAGAUCAGCGGCCACAUUCUGCAGAACGUACCGUUUCAGCUGCUGUCCCUGAGGAAAACACAUUCUCCUUGGUGACCAGCGGCGUCUUGGGCAGAGGGGCGGCCACCUACAACAUCACUAUAGUUGCCUGUGAUUGCGGCUCCCCUCCCCUAUGCCCUCUAUAGCAGGGGAACCCUCCCAGUGCGCAUUUCUGAUGUAAGUUACAUCACAAGGGGUGGCAGUCACCCCUUCCCCAGGCCAGGAGCCUGAGCCUCAGACUCUUUGGUGUCCCGCCUUGAUCCAGGGCCUGGGCUAAUUGACUGUUUGUUUCCCUGCCAGCCUGAGCACAGGCCUGGGCCCCCAGCUGCAAGUGGAGACUGCUUCGUUCCCCACGGUGGCUGAAGUAUCAUUAACGUAGUGAGGCAGAGUGGCCUCCUGAGGAGCGAGAGUGGGAGUGUCCCCGAUUGAGCCACUACAAUACAUAUAGUAAUUGUAAAGUUCUUCUUUUAGGCUUGUAGCUGUGAUGGAAUAAACUGCUGUCUUAAGUCAA